rnacentral:rRNA from 1 species
UGACGUCAAAUCAUCAUGCCCCUUAUGACCGUGGGCUACAAACGUGAUACAAUGGCUGAAACAAAGGGCAGCGAAGCAGUGAUGUGGAGCGAAACCCAAAAAGACAGUCUCAGUUCGGAUUGAAGUCUGCAACUCGACUUCAUGAAGUCGGAAUCGCUAGUAAUCGCGGAUCAGAACGCCGCGGUGAAUACGUUCGUCGGGUUU